UCCAUGGGAAAACACAUGGAAAAACACAUAGAAAAUGUGGGAAAAUCAGGGAAAAAUCCAUGGGAAAUCAGAGAGAAAUCAGGGAGAAAAUACAGGGAAAAUCAGAGAAAAAUCCAUGGGGAAAACACAUGGAAAAUGUGGGAAAAUCCAUGGGGAAAUUCAUGGGAAAACACAUGGAAAAACACAUGGAAAAUGUGGGAAAAUCCAUGGGGAAAAUGGGGAAAUUCAGGGAGAAAAUACGGGAAAAAUCGGGGAAAACCGGGGGGAAAAUCAGGGAAAAAUCCAUGGAAAAACUCAUGGAAAAUGAGGGAAAAUCCAUGGGAAAAACUUAUGGAAAACCACAUGGAAAAUGUGGUAAAAACUCAUGGAAAAACACAUGGAAAAUCCAUGGGGAAAAUCAGAGGAAAAUCCAUGGGAAAUCUGGGAAAAACUCAUGGAAAAUGUGGAAAACUCAUGGGAAAACGUGGGGAAAUCAGGGAGAAAAUCGGGGAAAAUCCAUGGGAAAACCCGGGAGAAAAUGCAGGAAAAAUGAGGAAAAAACAGGGGGAAAAACAGGGGAUAAAUGGGGAAAAAACAUGGGAAAAUCCAUGGGAAAAAUCAGGGGAAACCACAUGGAACACAUGGGAAAAACAGGGAGAAAUCCAUGGGAAAAUCGGGGAAAAUCAGAUAAAAACCAUGGAGAAUCCAUGGGGGAAUCAGGGAGAAACCAUGGGAAAUGCCUGGGAGUUUGGGAAUUGUUGGGAAUUUGGGAAUGUUGGGAAUUUGGGAAUGUCGGCACCUUCUCCCUCAUGUUCUCGGCGGCGCCGCCCUGAGCGCGCACGGCCCCGGAGCGAGAGUCGAACACGAACCCCGAGGGAUCUGCGGGAAAAGCAAAUCAGGGAAAUCCCAGCAAUCCCAAAUUCCCCGAAAUCCCAGAAAUCCCAAUCCCAAAUUCCCCAAAUUCCCUGGGAAUGCUGGGUCUGGAUUCCCAGAAAUCCCAAUCCCAAACUCCCCAAAAUCCCAGAAAUCCCAAUCCCAAAAUCCGAGAAAUCCCAAUCCUAAAUUCCCCAAAUUCCCAAUCCUAAAUUCCCCAAAAUCCCUGGGAAUGCUGGG
rnacentral:lncRNA from 1 species